CAGGAGCGGGGAUCAGAGGCUGGUGGGAAGAACAUGAGGGACAUUUGCUUGGCUGGUUUGAUUUUUACCCCCGCUUUAUUCCAGAAAUAAUUGAAGGCAAGACAAUAAGGUACUAGCUCAUUGCCAAUUAAUUGCUAACAUUAGUUAAGCAAGGUGCUGUUCUAGAAGCACAUUACUUGUAUUAGCACUUUUCAUUGUAACAUCAACCCGAAGAAGUAAGUACUAAAAGUAUCAUUUUACAGAUGAAGAAACUGCGGUCAAGAGAGGUUAAAUAACAGAUCUGGGAGCUGGUCCUACAAGAAGUAAUGGUGCAGACGGCUGACAUAAGGGUCCAGGAGUGACAGGAACCUAGGUGUGAAUCCUGCUUCACCACCCUACCUACCAGCUAUGACAUUGGCAGAAACCCAGUGAAGGCUCAGGCCUAAACUUUCCCUCACUCCUGGCCAACACUGGUGCUCUCCUCUGUGGCGCUGCCUUGGGGCAUGCAGUGACCCACUCUCUGGGAUCUGCUGCCAAUUUCAGAUCUGAAAACCUUACUGAAAAGAUACCCUAAUGCCCAAGGCCCUGUUUAAAGCAAGGACUGAAUCAGGCAUUGAAUGAUGGGACACAGUAAACUUUAAUGGUCUUCAUCUAUGUUUCCCCCAUUGUGGAGCAGGGCAGGGUAAAAUGCUUGAAUGCUGGGCCCAUCUCCUUAGCAUUUUAGUUCUGCAGUGAAGGGGGCUGUGAGCUCAGGUGAUACCGUGUUGCAAUCUUGCCAUGCCAUCAGAGUGAACAGAGGUUGGGCUUGGGAGUCACAGAGACAUGACAUCCAACCCCACUGGCCACUUACCAGUUCUGUGACCUUACGCAUCUCUGGGCCUCAGUUUCCUCAUCUGUAGAAUGGGGAUGCUAACACCUAUCUCUUGGGAUUGCUGGGAGAACCAAAUGCUAUAAUG